AACCAGUACCCUCAAGUGGUCAGGAUGAUUAUUGGGCCUAAAGCAUCCGUAGCUCGUUUUGUAAGUUUUCGGUUAAAUCCAUACGCUUAACGUAUGGGCUGCCGGGAAUACUGCAUAACUAGGAAGUGGGAGAGGUAGACGGUACUCGGUAGGAAGGGUAAAGUACCUUUGAUCUAUUGAUGACCACCUGUGGCGAAGGCGGUCUACCAGAACACGUUCGACGGUGAGGGAUGAAAGCUGGGGGAGCAAACCGGAUUGAACGACCUAGUC
rnacentral:rRNA from 1 species